GUCCCCAUCGUCUAGCCGGCCCAGGACACGGCCCUUUCAAGGCUGUAACACGGGUUCAAAUCCCGUUGGGGACG
rnacentral:tRNA from 1 species